UACGUAGGGUGCAAGCGUUGUCCGGAAUUAUUGGGCGUAAAGAGCUCGUAGGCGGUCUGUUACGUCGGCUGUGAAAACUCAGGGCUUAACCCUGAGCCUGCUUCCGAUACGGGCAGACUAGAGGUAUGCAGGGGAGAACGGAAUUCCUGGUGUAGCGGUGAAAUGCGCAGAUAUCAGGAGGAACACCGGUGGCGAAGGCGGUUCUCUGGGCAUUACCUGACGCUGAGGAGCGAAAGUGUGGGGAGCGAACAGG
rnacentral:rRNA from 1 species